UUGCGACCGUACUCCCAGGCGGAGUGCUUAAUGCGUUAGCUGCAGCACUAAGGGGCGGAAACCCCCUAACACUUAGCACUCAUCGUUUACGGCGUGGACUACCAGGGUAUCUAAUCCUGUUCGCUCCCCACGCUUUCGCUCCUCAGCGUCAGUUACAGACCAGAGAGUCGCCUUCGCCACUGGUGUUCCUCCACAUCUCUACGCAUUUCACCGCUACACGUGGAAUUCCACUCUCCUCUUCUGCACUCAAGUUCCCCAGUUUCCAAUGACCCUCCCCGGUUGAGCCGGGGGCUUUCACAUCAGACUUAAGAAACCGCCUGCGAGCCCUUUACGCCCAAUAAUUCCGGACAACGCUUGCCACCUACGUAUUACCGCGGCUGCUGGCACGUAGUUAGCCGUGGCUUUCUGGUUAGGUACCGUCAAGGUACCGCCCUAUUCGAACGGUACUUGUUCUUCCCUAACAACAGAGCUUUACGAUCCGAAAACCUUCAUCACUCACGCGGCGUUGCUCCGUCAGACUUUCGUCCAUUGCGGAAGAUUCCCUACUGCUGCCUCCCGUAGGAGUCUGGGCCGUGUCUCAGUCCCAGUGUGGCCGAUCACCCUCUCAGGUCGGCUACGCAUCGUUGCCUUGGUGAGCCGUUACCUCACCAACUAGCUAAUGCGCCGCGGGUCCAUCUGUAAGUGGUAGCCAAAGCCA
rnacentral:rRNA from 1 species